CCCUGUGGCUCAGUUGGUAGAGCAUGGUGUGUGCAACGCUAGGGUUGUUGGUUCGAUUCCCACCGGGG
rnacentral:tRNA from 1 species